rnacentral:rRNA from 1 species
GACCCGUCUUGAACCACGGAGUCUAACAAGUAUGCGAGUUAUUGGUAAAUUUUUAUCAAUUUUUCUUUUUUACUUUUCUUUUUUUUUUGUUUUUUAAAUUUUAAAUAGAAAUAAAAUUUUUUGCUUGUAUACCGUUUUUUGCGUGUAUAUUUUUAAAAAAAUUUUGUUUUUUUUUUUUAAUUUAAAAAAAAAUAAAAAAAAAGAAAAAGAUUAAGAAUUAAUUGUAAAUAAAAUUUAAAAACCAAAAGCAUAAGCAAAAGUAAAAAGAAAUAAAUAUUUUUAUUUAUUUUUUGGAGUGAUGAAAUUUUAAAAAAAAAAAGAAAUGGAAAAAAAUUUUUUUUUCCUUUUUUUUAAAGAAAAAAAAAAUUGCAAUCACUGAAUAUUUUGACACGUAAUUUUUUCUUAAUUGAUAUUUUACGAAGUCGAAAGUCGAAAUAUAUCAAGAGCAUACUUGUUGGGACCCGAAAGAUGGUGAACUAUACCUGGCCAGGAUGAAGUCAGGAGAAAUUCUGAUGGAAGUCCGUAGCGAUUCUGACGUGCAAAUCGAUCGUCAGAGCUGGGUAUAGGGGCGAAAGACUAAUCGACCCAUCUAGUAGCUGGUUCCUUCCGA